CACGUAGUUAGCCGGGGCUUCUUAAUCAGGUACCGUCAUUUUCUUCCCUGCUGAUAGAGCUUUACAUACCGAAAUACUUCUUCACUCACGCGGCGUCGCUGCAUCAGGGUUUCCCCCAUUGUGCAGUAUUCCCCACUGCUGCCUCCCGCAGGAGUCUGGGCCGUGUCUCAGUCCCAAUGUGGCCGUUCACCCUCUCAGGCCGGCUACUGAUCGUCGCUUUGGUAGGCCGUUACCCUGCCAACUGGCUAAUCAGACGCGGGUCCAUCUCACACCGAUAAAAUCUUUUCCGUCAGUGCCAUGCGGCACCAGCGGGUUAUGCGGUAUUAGCGGUCGUUUCCAACUGUUAUCCCCCUGUGUGAGGCAGGUUACCCACGCGUUACUCACCCGUCCGCCACUCAGUCACAAGAGACUUCAUCCGAAGAAUCAUUCUCAGGUGCUUCGUUCGACUUGCAUGUGUUAAGCACGCCGCCAGCGUUCAUCCUGAGCCAGGAUA
rnacentral:rRNA from 1 species